rnacentral:misc_RNA from 1 species
UACGUAGGAGGCGAGCGUUAUCCGGAAUCACUGGGCGUAAAGCGCUGGUAGGCGGUUUGGUAGGUGCGCGGUGAAAGCCCCUGGCUUACCCAGGGAGGGUCCGCGCAUACCGCCCGACUCGAGGCAAGCAGAGGGCCGUGGAACGUCCGGGGGAGUGGUGGAAUGCGUAGAUCUCGGACGGAACACCAGAGGCGAAGGCGGCGGCCUGGGCUUGAUCUGACGCUGAGCGGCGAAAGCGUGGGGAGCGAACAGG